GCUUGUCUCAAAGAUUAAGCCAUGCAUGUCUAAGUUUAAAUAGAAAACAGUGAAACUGCGAAUGGCUCAUUAAAUAAUUUUGCAUAUACAAGAUAGUCAACUCUACUUGGAUAACCGUAGUAAUUCUAGAGCUAAUACAUGCGUAAAGGGUGCUGAAAGGCAUCUGUGUUUAUUAGACUUAAGCCAAUAUUCCUUGUGUCUAUUGCGAUGAUUCAUAAUAACUGAUCGAAUCUCAAAUUUGAGAUAAAUCAUUCAAGUUUCUGCCCUAUCAGCUUUCGAUGGUAGUGUAUUGGACUACCAUGGCAGUAACGGGUAACGAAGAAUUAGGGUUCGAUUUCGGAGAGGGAGCAUGAGAAACGGCUACCACAUCUAAGGAAGGCAGCAGG
rnacentral:rRNA from 1 species